rnacentral:rRNA from 1 species
AUAGCGUAUAUUAAAGUUGUUGCGGUUAAAAAGCUCGUAGUUGAAUCUGUGUCCCGCGCUGUCGGUUCACCGCUCGCGGUGUUUAACUGGCAUGAUUGCGGGACGUCCUACCGGUGGGCUUGCCCCUCGGGGCGGCCCAACUAAUAUCCCAUCGCGGUGCUCUUUACUGAGUGUCGAGGUGGGCCGGUACGUUUACUUUGAACAAAUUAGAGUGCUUAAAGCAGGCUAUCCUCGCCUGAAUACUGUGUGCAUGGAAUAAUGGAAUAGGACCUCGGUUCUAUUUUGUUGGUUUUCGGAACCCCGAGGUAAUGAUUAAUAGGGACAGAUGGGGGCAUUCGUAUUGCGACGUUAGAGGUGAAAUUCUUGGAUCGUCGCAAGACGGACAGAAGCGAAAGCAUUUGCCAAAAAUGUUUUCUUUAAUCAAGAACGAAAGUUAGAGGUUCGAAGGCGAUCAGAUACCGCCCUAGUUCUAACCAUAAACGAUGCCAGCUAGCGAUCCGCCGAAGUUCCUCCGAUGACUCGGCGGGCAGCUUCCGGGAAACCAAAGCUUUUGGGUUCCGGGGGAAGUAUGGUUGCAAAGCUGAAACUUAAAGGAAUUGACGGAAGGGCACCACCAGGAGUGGAGCCUGCGGCUUAAUUUGACUCAACACGGGAAACCUCACCAGGCCCGGACACCGGAAGGAUUGACAGAUUGAUAGCUCUUUCUUGAUUCGGUGGGUGGUGGUGCAUGGCCGUUCUUAGUUGGUGGAGCGAUUUGUCUGGUUAAU